GAUGAACGCUAGCUACAGGCUUAACACAUGCAAGUCGAGGGGCAGCAUUUUAGUUUUGCUUGCAAACUGAAGAUGGCGACCGGCGCACGGGUGAGUAACACGUAUCCAACCUGCCGAUAACUCCGGGAUAGCCUUUCGAAAGAAAGAUUAAUACCGGAUAGUAUACGAAUAUCGCAUGAUAUUUUUAUUAAAGAAUUUCGGUUAUCGAUGGGGAUGCGUUCCAUUAGUUUGUUGGCGGGGUAACGGCCCACCAAGACUACGAUGGAUAGGGGUUCUGAGAGGAAGGUCCCCCACAUUGGAACUGAGACACGGUCCAAACUCCUACGGGAGGCAGCAGUGAGGAAUAUUGGUCAAUGGGCGCGAGCCUGAACCAGCCAAGUAGCGUGAAGGAUGAAGGCUCUAUGGGUCGUAAACUUCUUUUAUAUGGGAAUAAAGUUUUCCACGUGUGGAAUUUUGUAUGUACCAUAUGAAUAAGGAUCGGCUAACUCCGUGCCAGCAGCCGCGGUAAUACGGAGGAUCCGAGCGUUAUCCGGAUUUAUUGGGUUUAAAGGGAGCGUAGGUGGAUUGUUAAGUCAGUUGUGAAAGUUUGCGGCUCAACCGUAAAAUUGCAGUUGAAACUGGCAGUCUUGAGUACAGUAGAGGUGGGCGGAAUUCGUGGUGUAGCGGUGAAAUGCUUAGAUAUCACGAAGAACUCCGAUUGCGAAGGCAGCUCACUAGACUGUCACUGACACUGAUGCUCGAAAGUGUGGGUAUCAAACAGGAUUAGAUACCCUGGUAGUCCACACAGUAAACGAUGAAUACUCGCUGUUUGCGAUAUACAGUAAGCGGCCAAGCGAAAGCAUUAAGUAUUCCACCUGGGGAGUACGCCGGCAACGGUGAAACUCAAAGGAAUUGACGGGGGCCCGCACAAGCGGAGGAACAUGUGGUUUAAUUCGAUGAUACGCGAGGAACCUUACCCGGGCUUAAAUUGCAACAGAAUAUAUUGGAAACAGUAUAGCCGUAAGGCUGUUGUGAAGGUGCUGCAUGGUUGUCGUCAGCUCGUGCCGUGAGGUGUCGGCUUAAGUGCCAUAACGAGCGCAACCCUUAUCUUUAGUUACUAACAGGUUAUGCUGAGGACUCUAGAGAGACUGCCGUCGUAAGAUGUGAGGAAGGUGGGGAUGACGUCAAAUCAGCACGGCCCUUACGUCCGGGGCUACACACGUGUUACAAUGGGGGGUACAGAAGGCGGCUACCUGGUGACAGGAUGCUAAUCCCAAAAACCUCUCUCAGUUCGGAUCGAAGUCUGCAACCCGACUUCGUGAAGCUGGAUUCGCUAGUAAUCGCGCAUCAGCCAUGGCGCGGUGAAUACGUUCCCGGGCCU
rnacentral:rRNA from 1 species